CAGAAUUCAAUGAUGGCAUACAUGUGCAUCUAUUUCUAGACUUUAUUUGAUUUCAUGGUCUAUGUGUCUCUUCUUACACCAAAUGUCCUUAUAAAUCUAGCUUUAUAGUAAGCCUUGAAAUCAGAUAGUGCAUCAGCUAAAGGCUGUAGCAUUGGUCAAUUUGAAUGCUUCCUUUCUAUCUUUAGCUUUUAAAAUGGCUUCCUUCCUUUAGCAUCAUAUCAUAUUGAAUGGAGCAUCUGGGAUCUCCAUUUUGAAGCAUAUGUCUGUAGGCAGCCAUAGCCCCUCCAACAAAUCUUAAAGAAAAAAGCAAGCAUCAAAGCCAAGCCAAUCACAGCAUUAUAGCAUUAUUACAGGCAUUGCAAGUAUAACAGGUUAGCAUAUAUGUGCUUGUAGAAAUGAAGUGUUACCAUUCUUGUAGUUUAAAAUGGUCAGGGAGAACUCCAGUUAGUUUCUAUUUAGUACCACCAAGUACAUGUUCGGCAUUUCUUUUUAUAAUUACUAUUGUCCCCAUAAGACUAUACUUUUUAUUUUGAGGAAAUUGUACAGGCAAACCUUCUUUAUUGUGCUUAGCUUUAUUGCACUUCACAGGCGUUGCAUUUUGUACAUGUUGAAGGUCUGUGGCAACCCUGCAUUGAGCAAGUUUAUUGAGAACAUUUUUCCAACAGCAUUUGCUCACUUUGUCUCUGUGUCACAUUUUGGUAAAUCUUGCAGUAUUUCAAAAUUUUUUAUUGCAAUUAUUUCUGUUGUGGUUCUCUGUGACCAGUGGUCAUUGUUGUUACAUUGUAAAUGUUUUGAGAUGCCACAAACUGUGUUCAUAAACAAGGGU
rnacentral:lncRNA from 1 species